AUUGAACGCUGGCGGCAGGCCUAACACAUGCAAGUCGAGCGGAUGAAGGGAGCUUGCUCCUGGAUUCAGCGGCGGACGGGUGAGUAAUGCCUAGGAAUCUGCCUGGUAGUGGGGGAUAACGUCCGGAAACGGGCGCUAAUACCGCAUACGUCCUGAGGGAGAAAGUGGGGGAUCUUCGGACCUCACGCUAUCAGAUGAGCCUAGGUCGGAUUAGCUAGUUGGUGGGGUAAAGGCCUACCAAGGCGGCGAUCCGUAACUGGUCUGAGAGGAUGAUCAGUCACACUGGAACUGAGACACGGUCCAGACCCCUACGGGAGGCAGCAGUGGGGAACAUUGGACAAUGGGCGAAAGCCUGAUCCAGCCAUGCCGCGUGUGUGAAGAAGGUCUUCGGAUUGUAAAGCACUUUAAGUUGGGAGGAAGGGCAGUAAGUUAAUACCUUGCUGUUUUGACGUUACCAACAGAAUAAGCACCGGCUAACUUCGUG
rnacentral:rRNA from 1 species